GUCAAUUACCCCGCCCUAAAGGGCGAGGCUUGUGGUGGAUGAAACCGCAAGUCUGGAUUGACCAGCCCAAGCCGUAACCAACCGGCUCCGUUGCAACGAAGUACCCGACCGACGCCGGGGCGCUUCCUCAACUCCGGCCUCUCGA
rnacentral:sRNA from 19 species